rnacentral:rRNA from 1 species
UACAGAGGUCUCGAGCGUUAGGCGGAAUCACUGGGCUUAAAGCGUGUGUAGGUGGAUGCCUAAGUACCUUGUGAAAUCCCACGGCUUAACCGUGGAACUGCUUGGUAUACUGGGUGUCUUGAGUCACUCAGGGGCGAGCGGAACAAAUGGUGGAGCGGUGAAAUGCGUAGAUAUUGGGAAGAACACCGGUGGCGAAGGCGGCUAUCUGGACCGUAACUGACGCUGAGGCGCGAAAGCGUGGGGAGCAAACAGG